AUUGAACGCUGGCGGCAUGCUUUACACAUGCAAGUCGAACGGUAACAGGCCUUCGGUUGCUGACGAGUGUCGAACGGGUGAGUAAUGCAUCGGCACGUGCCCAGAGGUGGUGGAUAACGCAGCGAAAGCUGUGCUAAUACCGCAUGUGGUCUGAUGAUGAAAGCGGCGGACCACGCAGCAAUGUUUCGCCUCGCCCCUUUCGAACGGCCGAUGUCAGAUUAGGUAGUUGGUGGGGUAAAGGCCUACCAAGCCGACGAUGUGUAGCUGGUCUGAGAGGACGACCAGCCACACUGGAACUGAGACACGGCCCAGACUCCUACGGGAGGCAGCAGUAGGGAAUCUUGGGCAAUGGGCGCAAGCCUGAUGGAGCAAUGCCGCGUGAGGGAAGAAGGUCUUCGGGUUGUAAAACGCUUUUGUAAGGGAAGAAAAGGCGCUGGAGAAUCCCUGCAGGUGAUGACGGUACCGUAAGAGUAAGCAACGGCUAACUACGUG
rnacentral:rRNA from 1 species